rnacentral:rRNA from 1 species
UACGUAGGGUGCGAGCGUUAAUCGGAAUUACUGGGCGUAAAGCGUGCGCAGGCGGUUUUGUAAGCCAGAUGUGAAAUCCCCGGGCUUAACCUGGGAAUGGCAUUUGGGACUGCAAAGCUUGAGUGUGGCAGAGGGGACUGGAAUUCCUGGUGUAGCAGUGAAAUGCGUAGAGAUCAGGAGGAAUACCGAUGGCGAAGGCAGGUCCCUGGGCUGACACUGACGCUCAGGCACGAAAGCGUGGGGAGCAAACAGG